rnacentral:lncRNA from 1 species
CUAAAGAUUUGGGUUCUAAUUCUGGAUUCAACUUUCCCUCAGGCCACAACUUGUCCCUCUAGGCUUUAGGCUCCUCGUGUCUCAGAUGUGGGUUCAUUAGGAUCCUCCAUGUGAGGAUCCUCCACUUUGUAAAUUCUAAAGCACUAGAGAAAUGCCAUUUGUUGCUACCAUUUCUUAUGUGAUUCUCAAAUUAAAAAGUUGAUGCUGAAGGAUCCACCGAAUAAAAAAUACUGCUUGAAUCUAUUGACAGGAUCAGCAGAAUGCUUGAAGGGAAUCAACCCAGAGCAGACCCCGAGGAAGUUGUGCAUACCAGAGGCGCAGGCCUCUGCAUCACUGGGAAUGGACCCGGAUUUGAGAGGGUGGCUCUCUAGACCCUGUCCUCCUCUGGAGCACCACUUUCUAAGAUGGCGCCGGACUCCUAGUAGAUACUCAGUGAAUAUUUGUGGAAUGGACACACAAAUUAACACAUAGCCCUGCCAAUAUAUCCUCCCCCGAAACCAUUAUUUUCUGUUGCCUGUGCUGCUUUGCCGCAUCUCAGGGGUCUCCACACUGCACACCCCAACGCAUCAUCAAAGCGUACAAGCCGGGAAUCGAAGGAGCCUGCUAGUAAGACAGAAGUCACAGUCUUUUGUAACCUAAUCAUGGAAGUGACGUCCCUUUGCAUGUGCCAUAUUCGAUUGGUUAGAAGCAAGUCACGAAGUCAGGGCCACCAUCAAAAGAAGGAACUUGCACAAGGGUGUGCCUCCCAUUUCUCUUCUUUCUCACAGGAAACUCAUUCAGAGCAUGUCCCCAUAGAGCAAGGUGCAUGGACGUUUCUCCAAGAAGGAGACCGUCUGUAAUCUCUGCCCAGGCCGGGAAGGCCACUCGGCUCUGAUCGCACCGUCUGCCAUCUCAAGGGUGUUUACCUAACUAGCCUUGCUGAACCCUUUUUCAUAACGUGGGGUGGUAACUAAAGUAUGCCCGGCUCCAGAAUCUAGAAAACAUCUUCUUCUUUGUCUGGCCCUGAAAACCAUGGAAGAUGUGACCCCAAAAGUCCUGGGGAAAAAUCUAGCGUUAGGGAACCAAAAGAGGUCUGUUUUUCCGGGUGUAUGGUGUUUGGUUCUGGUUUACAGAACGCAAAUUGAAAACAUAAUGUGUGACGACAAAAGGAAAGGGGUUUGAAGGCGAUCUUUGUGGGGAAAACAACUUCUGUUCCCACACGAUAUAUAAGUAGGUGGAUGUGGGUGCAGAGAGGGGAAGCAGAGAUGCCCAAGGGGCCCCACCUUCCAUGCAUCCACCUUAAAAUGUCCAUCUUCCAAUAAAACUCAGCCCAGAAAUCCA